CAGAUUGAGGAGCAAUCAACAAGAGUAACUAUGUGGAGCCAGCCAGCUAUGAAACACAGUGAAAGGGGAGAUUGCCGAAAUUUCAGUUUUGUGAGGCAGACAAAUUGAUUUUGGGAAUGCAGAUAACAUCUGUAUAACUGUCAUUGGGGAACCAAUGUUGUGCUUUCUGUU
rnacentral:ncRNA from 1 species